rnacentral:rRNA from 1 species
AUUGAACGCUGGCGGCAUGCUUUACACAUGCAAGUCGGACGAGUGGCGAACGGGUGAGUAAUAUAUUGGAAAGUACCAAGUAAUGGGGGAUAACCAAUCGAAAGAUUGGCUAAUACCGCAUAUUCUUCAAGCGGCCAUUAGCUGAUUAGGUAGUUGGUGGGGUAAAGGCCUACCAAGACGACGAUCAGUAGCGGGUCUGAGAGGAUGAUCGGCCACACUGGGACGGGGACACGGCCCAGACUCCGUCGGGAGGCAGCAGUGGGAAAUUUUGGCAAAUGGGCGCAAUCCUGAGCCAGCCAUGCCGCGUGUCUGAAGAAGGCCUUCGUGUGGUAAAGGACUUUUGUUAGGGAAGCGGUACCUAAAGAGAAAGCACCGGCUAACGACGUGCCAGCAGCCGCGGUAAUAC